rnacentral:rRNA from 1 species
GAGCCGGCAUCAGGCACACCCCCUGUAGCCCAAGACGCCUUGCUUAGCCACACCCACAUGGGAAAUCAGCAGUGAUAAACAUUAAGCCAUGAGCGAAAGCUUGACUUAGUUAAGGCCAAGAGGGCCGGUUAAGCUCGUGCCAGCCACCGCGGUUAUACGAGCGGCCCAAGUUGACAUUACACGGCGUAAAGAGUGAUUAGAAGACCUACAAACUAAAGCCAAACCCUUCCCCCAAGCUGUCAUACGCUCACGGAUAAACGAAGACUUACAACGAAAGUAUCUUUAACAAAUUUGAACUCACGAGAGUCGAGGGACAAACUGGGAUUAGAUACCCCACUAUGCUCAACUUUAAACGACGACGGCCAUAUACCAGGGCCGUCCGCCAGGGGACUACGAGCAACAGCUUAAAACCCAAAGGACUUGGCGGUGCUUCAAACCCACCUAGAGGAGCCUGUUUUAUAACCGAUAAUCCUCGUUAAACCUCACCACACCUUGCCAAUACCCGCCUAUAUACCGCCGUCGUCAGCUUACCUCCUGAGAGGACUAUAGUAAGCCAAAGGGGCUACGCCCAGCACGUCAGGUCGAGGUGUAGCGAAUGGUGUGGGACAAAAUGGGCUACAUUUUCUGGUUCAGAAAACACGGAAAACGCCAUGAAAAACGCAACUGAAG